UUCAGGAAAGUCAGUCUGGAACUAUUUCAUUCUACAUUUCAGGUCAUAAGUGCAAAGGACAAGAGAAACCUAUUUCUUUUCAUUCAGCAAAGAAAGUCGAUGGUAAAUUUGAGUUCAGUUCUUGCUUCUGCUAUUUUCUCCUCUAUUCAAAACCAAUCAAGGCCUGGAUACCUGACCUGCUGGUUGGCAGAGGUCCUCUGUUGAGUGAGCUGGUACUUGUCUGAAGAUGAAUGUAGGCAGCACAGGAAGAAGUAUCAGUUUACAAUAUGAGCAGAGUCUAUAAAGGGACAGCCAAAGCCUGGCAAGCGUUGGCUCUGCAAGUCUAACAUAAGUCAAAGGGAGGAAGCUGGCCCAGGGAAGAGCUGGGAGAGCCUGGGAGGGCCUUCCUCCCUCUCAACUGUAACACAGGCCUCUACACAGACCUCUAUAUGGGCCUUUCUGUAUUAGCACUUCUUUUCAGGAUGGUGACAGAUAAGAACAUUGGAAAGAUUUUAACGCUGGAUCUGAGACUGAUGGAUUCACAGGAUAAAUAAAUACUAAAUACUAGAAUAAUGGCCAGUUCACCUUAUUCAGCCAUUUAAAAAAAUGUUGAAUAUGCACAUUCAAUGAACGUGUUUACCAUAAAUAAAAACAGACCAGCCCACAGGGUUGGCUUUUUCCAUGUGUGGCACUGGAAGACGUCUGGGGCUUACUCACCCUCGGCUACGGUCAAUCUCAUCACGAAGGUUUCGUUUUCUCCUGCACUGGCCUGCAAGUGGCAGCGGUAAAGCCCCGAGUCUGAGGCCGUGACGUCAGGGACAACGAUGAAGCUCCAGCUUCCGUGGCUGCAGUUGCUCACUAUUUGUCGUGGGAACUUGGAGGUGAAAUUUCUGCCGUGGACCAAGUCACAGUAAGUUAAGAGGUCGAUCUGAUGGGGCUGGAUCUUUUCCCACCUCACUUCCUGCACAGGCCACGUCAUCUGAGGCUGACAGGUGAGUGUGAUAUUCUUUCCAGGUUCUGAGACAAUGUGGCUAUUUGGUGGCACAGCUGCCUCAAAACCAUCUGAAAAGAAGAAGUAAAUGAUUAGAUCCAGGUUGUCAAAUUUUGGGACACCCAAACCUAAUCAUGAAAAUGACUGGUGACGUUACCUAACACAGUUUCUUCCAUUGUGAAUGACCUAUUUAUACCACAUUUUUAUAAGAGAAAGCAUUUUUUUUUUAAGUCCGGGAGAUAAAUAGAAAAGAGGAUAUGACUGUUUACACAUAGCUCUGUAAGUGUUACUCGGUUACCCAUGUAGUGAGAAACAUAGCCAAAACCCCUGGUGCUUUUCUUGGUACUGAUCGUAUCAAGAGGCUGAAUUUGACAAAGAGACUGUUACGCAAUAAUGCUGGGCUGGCAUCUCUGACACUGACCUAGAGUAUCAAAUGUUCAGGUUAUAAUCAUUCUGGCUAAGAUUUCGACAGUCAUGAAAAAGAUACCCAAUCAUUCUCACUGAAUACACACAUGAUCUCGCUCUUCAGAUAUACAAGUUUGUCUUACAUGUGGGUAGAGUAGGGCCCCACAUGUGGUAUCAAUUCUUGAUUCCAUGAAAGUCCCUCAGUAUUCUCCCACCUUCCUGACACCAUUUCUGGAACUCCUAGCACAAAGUACUCAGUAAUUGUCACCAAUUAUCUAAGUCAGUUGUCCUGAGAGUGUGUUUGGGGGCCCUCGGCAUCUCUGUGGCCCUUUAGGGGAUACACAAGGUCUAAUCUAUUUUCCUAGUGAUAUCUAAGAUGAAAUUUCCCCUCUUCAUUCCAGUUCUAUCACAAGUAUACAGUAGAUAUUUCCAGAAGCUCCGCCAGCUAGUGGUAUGUGUGCUUGAAAUGUCUUAAAUUUUGUUCAAGAUUAAUUUCUAAUACAGUAAACAUGACAGAUAUGACCUAUGUAAACAAACACUCCCUGAGGGCCUUCAAUAAUUUUUAAAAGAGCAUAAAGGGGUCUUGAGACCACAAAGUUUGGGAACGUGAUCUAAAGAAUAAACUGCGGUAAUUAUUUCUCAAAAUGUAAGACAACCCAGCAAGGUAACAAGCGGAUCUAUUUAUUAGCGAUGAACACCUUCUUUCAUCUGAUAGCAUCACUAAUGCCAACAAAUUCUGACCUGCUGUUUCAGUACAGAGGGAGGCCUGGGCAGUAAUGAUGUCACGGUGCUCUCUGGCACUAAGGGAGAAAUGUAAAAAGUGGAAAGUCAUCUGUCACUUCAACAACGUGACAGUUUCACUCAGGGCUGGUCCAGGCGCCAUUGUCUUGGCAUACAAACAAAAGAAUAAAGAAAUAGAGAAAGAGAGAAAGGAAUGAGGGAAGGAGAAAAAAAGAGAGAAAAAGCAAAAA